UCUUCAAAGUCCUCUUAUGGAGUCCAGCCAAUUGGAGAUGACCAGAGACCGUGACGGUUUUGGUUAGAUGUUGCUUCUCUGUUUCAGGGCUGUAUCUCCCUGACCCCACCCCAGCCCGCCUGCCUUUCUGGGAAGAGAACUGCAGGUACCACAGGAUGUCACAAGGUUGGCAGCUGCGGUUCUGAUUUGGCGCCUAGCCUGGGAACUUCCAUAUGCCAUAGGUGCGGCCCAAAAAGGAGAAAAGGAAGAAAAAAAGAGGAAGAGGACGAGAAAGAAGGAGAUGACGAAGAAAAAGAAGAAAAGGAGGAGGAGAGGAAGAAAAAUUCGGCAGUUUCGCAAAUGGUAAUUUGGGGUUCAGACAGGCCAUUCAGAAGCCCCUUCCCCAUUUCUGUGGAGCACUGAAGCGCCGGGGCAGGUGGGGAUGCUGACAAGAUCACAUUCCCUGAUAUAAAUUAGGGCUGUGAGAGCCUGUUCUCCAGGGACCUCAGUGCAGACCCUGAAACCCAGGCCCCAGAGAUCUCCCAGCACUACCAUUAAUAGUGUGGACUGUGGCAGAGCCAACUCAAGUUCAACCGCCUGGGUGUGUGGCCUUGAGCACCUGACCUCCCAGUGUCUCUUCUGGAAGCACCCCAUAAAUAUUAACCAUCAGCAUUAAUAGCUGUCGCAGUGAAUUAUUUUUUUAAGUCCGAGGACAGUCCAGAAAGGACUACUUACAGUAACUGUGAUCUGAAAUUAAUGUUCCUUUCAUUACAAUAGAAAUAACCUAGUUAUCCUUCAGCUAUUAUGUUCCACUUGCAAAUCUUGUUAUUGUUUAUAAAUAUCUCAAGAUAAGAAUAGUGACCUCCCAAUUGCUGUGAUUAAUGAUCUAUGAACUCAACUUGAAGACCCUGAACUUCUUUUAAAAAGUCAUUUGCAAGCUUAAUUAAAUUCCCCUAAACACUUUGAACUGCAUUGAUAAAUUUAAUAUAUUACAUUUCCUUUGUAAGCACUUCGGUUGCCUAACAGAGCAAACUGAUGACUCCAACAAAGGAAAUAUCUCCAAGUAAUAAGUUCUUAUAAGCCUAAGAAAGAAAAUCUAUUAACAUAGUGAAGCACUGGUUUCAUUAAAAAAAAAAAAAUCUCAUAAUAUUCACAAAAAGGGAAUCAAAUUUUCUUUCCACUUCGAAAUAAACUCACAAGUCUAAGUUGUAGUACAUAUUUAAAGCACGUCAGGUUAAUCUGCCAGUCCAUGGAAUUCCCAUCAUGGUGCAGAGGAAAUGAAUCCGACUAGGAACCUUGAGGUUGCAAGUUCAAUCCCUGGCCUCACUCAAUGGGUUAAGGAUCCGGCGUUGCCAUGAGCUGUGGUGUAGCUCGCAGACACGGCUUGGUUCUUGCGUUGCUGUGGCUGUGGCAUAGGCUGGCAGCUACAGCUCUGAUUUGACCCCUAGCCUGGGAACCUACAUAUGCCGUGGGUGAGGCUCUAAAAAGACAAAAGACAAAAACGAACAAACAAAAAAAAACCUGUCAGUCUUUAAUGUGCUGGAUUCUCUUAACUAUCACAGUAUUUUAAAAUAACCAAUGUACACCGUUAACUCCUAAACUUGACAUUUUGAUAUUUAGGGCUUAAUUCGUUUUAUCAUCUUAGUGUUUUUUGUUUUUGUUUUUGUCUUUUUAGGUCUGUAUUUUCAGCAUGUGGAAGUUCCCAGGCUAGGGGUCAAAUCAGAGCUGCAGCUGCCAGCCUGCACCACUGCCACAGCAACACCGGAUCUGAGCCGAAUCUGCAACCUAUGCCACAGCAUACAGCAAACCGGAUCUUAGCCGAAUCUGCAAACUAUGCCACAGCAUACGGCAACACUGGAUCUCUAACCCACUGAGCAAGACCAGGAUCAAACCCAAAUCCUCAUGGAUACUAGUCAG
rnacentral:lncRNA from 1 species